GGAUUAGGCAUGCAAGUCGAACGAGGAUAUAUCCUUCGGGGUAUAAGCCGAGUGGCGCAAGGGUGAGUAAUGCAUAGAUUACCUGCCUCUAGGAUAAGGACAACUUUGUGAAAACGAAGCUAAUACUUAAUAAUACAAAAGAAAAUAAUUUUCUUUUGUCAAUGGGAGGGUAGCAAUACCUUUUGCCUAGAGAGGGGCUUAUGUCCUAUCAGCUUGUUGGUGGGGUAAUGGCCUACCAAGGCGAAGACGGGUAGCCGGUCUUAGAGGAUGGUCGGCCACACUGGGACUGAGACACUGCCCAGACUUCUACGGAAGGCUGCAGUCGAGAAUCUUUCGCAAUGCCCGAAAGGGUGACGAAGCGACGCCGCGUGAGUGAGGAAGGCCUUAGGGUUGUAAAGCUCUGUCAGGAGUUAAGAAAUAUAAGUGUGUUAAUACCACAUUUAUUUGACGAAGGCUCCAAAGGAAGCCACGGCUAACUCUGUGCCAGCAGCCGCGGUAAUACAGAGGUGGCAAGCGUUGUUCGGAAUUAUUGGGCGUAAAGAGCACGUAGGUGGGUUUGUAAGUCAGAUGUGAAAGCCUUCUGUUCAACGGAAGAAUUGCAUCUGAAACUGCAAGUCUUGAGUGUAGGAGGGGAGAAUGGAACUUCUGGUGGAGCGGUGAAAUGCGUAGAUAUCAGAAGGAACGCCGGCGGCGAAAGCGAUUCUCUGGCCUAUUACUGACACUCAGUGUGCGAGAGCUAGGGGAGCAAACGGGAUUAGAUACCCCGGUAGUCCUAGCCGUAAACGAUGGGCACUAAGUAGAGGGGAUUACCGAUGUUCUCUCUGCCGUAGCUAACGCAUUAAGUGCCCCGCCUGGGGAGUACGGCCGCAAGGCUAAAACUCAAAAGAAUUGACGGGGGCUCGCACAAGCGGUGGAGCAUGUGGCUUAAUUCGAUGCAACGCGAAAAACCUUACCGGGGCUUGACAUGGUAGAAGUAGGAACCCGAAAGGGUAACGAACGGUAUCCAGUCCGUAGCUAUCACAGGUGUUGCAUGGCUGUCGUCAGCUCGUGUCGUGAGACGUUGGGUUAAGUCCCCUAACGAGCGAAACCCUUGUUUUUAGUUACCAGCGGGUUAUGCCGGGUACUCUAGAAAGACUGCCGUCGUCAAGACGGAGGAAGGUGGGGAUGACGUCAAGUCAUCAUGGCCCUUAUGCCCCGGGCUGCACACGUGCUACAAUGGUCGGUACAAACGGAAGCGAAGCCGAGAGGUGAAGCGAAUCCUAAGAAGCCGAUCUCAGUUCGGAUUGGAGGCUGAAAUUCGCCUCCAUGAAGUUGGAAUCGCUAGUAAUCGCGGAUCAGCAAUGCCGCGGUGAAUAUGUUCCCGAGCCUUGUACACACCGCCCGU
rnacentral:rRNA from 1 species